rnacentral:rRNA from 2 species
GGGUUGUGAGGUUAAGCGACUAAGCGUACACGGUGGAUGCCCUGGCAGUCAGAGGCGAUGAAGGGCGUGCUAAUCUGCGAUAAGCGCCGGUAAGGUGAUAUGAACCGUUAUAACCGGCGAUACCCGAAUGGGGAAACCCAGUGUGAUUCGUCACACUAUCAUUAACUGAAUCCAUAGGUUAAUGAGGCGAACCGGGGGAACUGAAACAUCUAAGUACCCCGAGGAAAAGAAAUCAACCGAGAUUCCCCCAGUAGCGGCGAGCGAACGGGGAGGAGCCCAGAGCCUGAAUCAGCAUGUGUGUUAGUGGAAGCGUCUGGAAAGGCGCGCGAUACAGGGUGACAGCCCCGUACACAAAAGCGCAUGUGCUGUGAGCUCGAUGAGUAGGGCGGGACACGUGGUAUCCUGUCUGAAUAUGGGGGACCAUCCUCCAAGGCUAAAUACUCCUGACUGACCGAUAGUGAACCAGUACCGUGAGGGAAAGGCGAAAAGAACCCCGGCGAGGGGAGUGAAAAAGAACCUGAAACCGUGUACGUACAAGCAGUGGGAGCACCCUUCGGGGUGUGACUGCGUACCUUUUGUAUAAUGGGUCAGCGACUUAUAUUCUGUAGCAAGGUUAACCGUAUAGGGGAGCCGGAGGGAAACCGAGUCUUAAUUGGGCGUUAAGUUGCAGGGUAUAGACCCGAAACCCGGUGAUCUAGCCAUGGGCAGGUUGAAGGUUGGGUAACACUAACUGGAGGACCGAACCGACUAAUGUUGAAAAAUUAGCGGAUGACCUGUGGCUGGGGGUGAAAGGCCAAUCAAACCGGGAGAUAGCUGGUUCUCCCCGAAAGCUAUUUAGGUAGCGCCUCGUGAAUUCAUCUCCGGGGUAGAGCACUGUUUCGGCUAGGGGGCCAUCCCGGCUUACCAACCCGAUGCAAACUGCGAAUACCGGAGAAUGUUAUCACGGGAGACACACGGCGGGUGCUAACGUCCGUCGUGAAGAGGGAAACAACCCAGACCGCCAGCUAAGGUCCCAAAGUCAUGGUUAAGUGGGAAACGAUGUGGGAAGGCCCAGACAGCCAGGAUGUUGGCUUAGAAGCAGCCAUCAUUUAAAGAAAGCGUAAUAGCUCACUGGUCGAGUCGGCCUGCGCGGAAGAUGUAACGGGGCUAAACCAUGCACCGAAGCUGCGGCAGCGAACGUAUCACCCAAGACAACUUUACGGAGUUGACGAUUGACGGAGCGAAGCGACGUCAAAGCGUUCAUUAAAGUCGAGUUGGCUUAGGGAUACGUUCGUUGGGUAGGGGAGCGUUCUGUAAGCCUGUGAAGGUGUGUCGUGAGGCAUGCUGGAGGUAUCAGAAGUGCGAAUGCUGACAUAAGUAACGAUAAAGCGGGUGAAAAGCCCGCUCGCCGGAAGACCAAGGGUUCCUGUCCAACGUUAAUCGGGGCAGGGUGAGUCGACCCCUAAGGCGAGGCCGAAAAGCGUAGUCGAUGGGAAACGGGUUAAUAUUCCCGUACUUGGUGUUACUGCGAAGGGGGACGGAGAAGGCUAUGUUGGCCGGGCGACGGUUGUCCCGGUUUAAGCGUGUAGGUGUGUGUUCCAGGUAAAUCCGGUUCACUUUAACACUGAGGCGUGAUGACGAGGCACUACGGUGCUGAAGCAACAAAUGCCCUGCUUCCAGGAAAAGCCUCUAAGCAUCAGGUAACAUCAAAUCGUACCCCAAACCGACACAGGUGGUCAGGUAGAGAAUACCAAGGCGCUUGAGAGAACUCGGGUGAAGGAACUAGGCAAAAUGGUGCCGUAACUUCGGGAGAAGGCACGCUGACACGUAGGUGAAGUGAUUUACUCACGGAGCUGAAGUCAGUCGAAGAUACCAGCUGGCUGCAACUGUUUAUUAAAAACACAGCACUGUGCAAACACGAAAGUGGACGUAUACGGUGUGACGCCUGCCCGGUGCCGGAAGGUUAAUUGAUGGGGUCAGCGCAAGCGAAGCUCCUGAUCGAAGCCCCGGUAAACGGCGGCCGUAACUAUAACGGUCCUAAGGUAGCGAAAUUCCUUGUCGGGUAAGUUCCGACCUGCACGAAUGGCGUAAUGAUGGCCAGGCUGUCUCCACCCGAGACUCAGUGAAAUUGAACUCGCUGUGAAGAUGCAGUGUACCCGCGGCAAGACGGAAAGACCCCGUGAACCUUUACUAUAGCUUGACACUGAACAUUGAGCCUUGAUGUGUAGGAUAGGUGGGAGGCUUUGAAGUGUGGACGCCAGUCUGCAUGGAGCCGACCUUGAAAUACCACCCUUUAAUGUUUGAUGUUCUAACGUGGACUCGUAAUCCGGGUUGCGGACAGUGUCUGGUGGGUAGUUUGACUGGGGCGGUCUCCUCCUAAAGAGUAACGGAGGAGCACGAAGGUUGGCUAAUCCUGGUCGGACAUCAGGAGGUUAGUGCAAUGGCAUAAGCCAGCUUGACUGCGAGCGUGACGGCGCGAGCAGGUGCGAAAGCAGGUCAUAGUGAUCCGGUGGUUCUGAAUGGAAGGGCCAUCGCUCAACGGAUAAAAGGUACUCCGGGGAUAACAGGCUGAUACCGCCCAAGAGUUCAUAUCGACGGCGGUGUUUGGCACCUCGAUGUCGGCUCAUCACAUCCUGGGGCUGAAGUAGGUCCCAAGGGUAUGGCUGUUCGCCAUUUAAAGUGGUACGCGAGCUGGGUUUAGAACGUCGUGAGACAGUUCGGUCCCUAUCUGCCGUGGGCGCUGGAGAACUGAGGGGGGCUGCUCCUAGUACGAGAGGACCGGAGUGGACGCAUCACUGGUGUUCGGGUUGUCAUGCCAAUGGCACUGCCCGGUAGCUAAAUGCGGAAGAGAUAAGUGCUGAAAGCAUCUAAGCACGAAACUUGCCCCGAGAUGAGUUCUCCCUGAGACUUAGAGUCUCCUGAAGGAACGUUGAAGACGACGACGUUGAUAGGCCGGGUGUGUAAGCGCAGCGAUGCGUUGAGCUAACCGGUACUAAUGAACCGUGAGGCUUAACCUUACAACGCCGAAG